rnacentral:pre_miRNA from 14 species
CUUAGGGUCUCCGGGGGCUACACCAGAUCCUGGACGAGCCCCCAGAUGAAAGAACCCCAAAUAGGGGAGUCUCUCGCUCCAGUCUCGGGAUGGCGUGCCCCAGGAAACACGAGUAGCC